CAAAACAACAGUCUCAGUUCAGAUUGUAGGCUGAAACUCGCCUGUAUGAAGUCGGAAUUGCUAGUAAUCGCGGAUCAGCAUGCCGCGGUGAAUACGUUCCCGGGCCUUGUACACACCGCCCGUCACACCAUGAGAGUCGAUAACACCCGAAGCCUGUAGUCUAACAGCAAUGAGGACGCAGUCGAAGGUGGGAUUGAUAAUUAGGGUGAAGUCGUAACAAGGUAGC
rnacentral:rRNA from 1 species